CUCAGCACUCACACACACUAAAACAGACCUUAUUACACAAUACCACACCAUGACCAGCUCACUCUGCACAAACGUAAUACCACAAACAGGCUCCAAACACAUGCACAAUACUCUUUCCUGGCCCUUUUGUCUCCUGGUAUCCAUUUAUAGAGACAUCAGAGACAAGUUGCAAGGAAACAGUGCAAGCAUGUUAUUAAAUUUGCUUGCACUGUGCAGAACAAAUACAGGGCUUUUUUCUCAUGCUAGAGCUCUUCAGCAGAGCUCUGUGCAUGGUCUGCCCUGGAAGAGCAUUGAACCAACAUGCUCACUUUGAGAGGGAGCGUGUUUGUCAUGAGUGAUGACAAAAC
rnacentral:lncRNA from 1 species